ACGCGAGAGUUCCGGUCUUCUUCUAUUCUCGGAGACAGAGGGAAGUAGCUGCCAGCUCAUGAUGCUUGAAGCUGUUCGGCUGCAUUUAUAUGCGAAUAUGAAUUCAGCUGUAACUAAACCGCCUUGAAAAGGCAGCUUUGGAAGAUGUGAAAUGACUCUCACCUUUCUCACAAAUCACAGAAGUUUUGAAAGAAUUGUGGACUGUCGUGCCACUUGAGGGAGAUGGCCACAAGGAGGAAGCACAAUGAAAAGAUUAAGCAGUGCUAAAGUAAGACUGUACGAAGACGCACAGGCCCCCGAAGAUGACAGAAACGGGUAAAUGCACGCUAAAGUUACGCUUCUCUGCUCUAAAAUGUAGAGUCCUGGAAACUUAAAGCUUGACUAGAGCUGUAUAAACAAUUUAGCUUUGGCCAACUGCAGUAGUCGUAAUCUCGCCUUCCCCCCCUCCCCUUUUUUUUAUUUUUUUUAUUUAAUGCUUAACAGAUGGCGCCAGUGGAAAGCAAAAGCAACACCGGCUCAGGAUUAAUCCAUAAGUCUAAUGCCAGAGGAUAAUAUUAAAUGCAGGAUUUUAGUAUGAAAAUUGAGUCACAUUUGAUCAGAAACAUGUUUAUUAAAACUGCAUGUAUAAAAUUCAACCAUUUACAUGAGGGGUAACACGAGUCCUGCUGGGAGGGCUCAGUCUGUGUUGAACGGUGACCUGUAUGAUUUCUUCUUCAGAUUAUCGAGGAAAAUCUGCUCCUCUUGGAGGUAUUCACGGUCCUGUAGGCAGGAAAAUACCCAGUUAACAUCAUUUAGUCAAAAAAUACAUCAAGUGUUUGCAGUUACUGUAGCUGCAAGUGUGGUGUUGAAGAAAAUGGCACAUCCUUUUGCUAGCCCCCGACCCCUAAUGUCACUGUUUAUUCCAUUUCCUUUGUCAUAGAUAACUCGCUUCCCAUUUGUCAUUAAUUGGCAACCAUAUGCAAACUUGCCACUCUUUUCUGUAUGUACAUAUUGUCCCCUCCCAACUGUACAAAAUGUUUUACUCUUAAAUGGUCUGAGUCGGCUUACUUCCAGACUCUUGCUCUGUGUUAAGCCCACUAUAUAACAGAACAGUAAUAAACACCCCCACAACGGCAAACUUCGCAUGAGGACUUUGGGUAAAUUUCUUCAACUGUGAAUGUAUUGAAAGGUUGUGUAACUGGGCUGUAACCAGUUUCAAUUUCACGUGUUCAAUAAAAGCCUGUACAAGAAAA